rnacentral:rRNA from 1 species
ACGGGAGGCAGCAGUGGGGAAUAUUGCACAAUGGGGGAAACCCUGAUGCAGCGACGCCGCGUGAGCGAAGAGGUAUUUCGGUAUGUAAAGCUCUAUCAGCAGGGAAGAAAAUGACGGUACCUGACUAAGAAGCCCCGGCUAACUACGUGCCAGCAGCCGCGGUAAUACGUAGGGGGCAAGCGUUAUCCGGAUUUACUGGGUGUAAAGGGAGCGUAGACGGCAAGGCAAGUCUGAAGUGAAACUCCGGGGCUCAACCCCGGAACUGCUUUGGAAACUGUCUGGCUAGAGUACCGGAGGGGUAAGCGGAAUUCCUAGUGUAGCGGUGAAAUGCGUAGAUAUUAGGAAGAACACCAGUGGCGAAGGCGGUUAGCUGGACAGUAACUGACGCUGAGGCGCGAAAGCGUGGGUAGCAAACAGGAUUAGAUACCCUGGUA